rnacentral:rRNA from 1 species
CCUACGGGAGGCAGCAGUGGGGGAUAUUGCACAAUGGGGGGAACCCUGAUGCAGCGACGCCGCGUGGGUGAAGAAGCGCCUCGGCGCGUAAAGCCCUGUCAGCAGGGAAGAAAAUGACGUUACCUGAAGAAGAAGCCCCGGCUAACUACGUGCCAGCAGCCGCGGUAAUACGUAGGGGGCAAGCGUUAACCGGAUUUACGGGGUGGAAAGGGGGCGUGGACGGCGUUGCAAGCCAGGGGUGAAAGCCCGGGGCCCAACCCGGGGACUGCUCUUGGAACUGCGUGGCUGGAGUGCAGGAGGGGCAGGCGGAAUUCCUGGUGUAGCGGUGAAAUGCGUAGAUAUCAGGAGGAACACCGGUGGCGAAGGCGGCCUGCUGGACUGCAACUGACGUUGAGGCCCGAAAGCGUGGGGAGCAAACAGGAUUAGAUACCCUUGUAGUC